GACUAUAGACUAGACUAUAAACUACACUAUAGAAUACACCAUAGACUAGACUUGAGACUAGACUGUGGACUACACUAUAGACUGCCUAGACUGUAGACUAUAGACUAAACUACAGUCUAUAAUAUGGGUUAAACCAUGAACUAUAUUCUAAACUAAUGACUACAUUUACAACUAGACUAUAGACUUAACUAUAUAUUAAAAAUAUAAACAAAUUUGUAACUCGUUUUAAUUUAAAUUUGUUUAAAUUUAGUUCUUAAAUUAUCCAAAUUGAAAAUUUCACGUCCCUAUUGAUAUUUGUCACAAGGUAGAGGAAAACUCUUUAAAGACGUGAAAUUUUUUCUCAAUUAUUACUUUAUUAAUUCAUUUAUUUUUCCCUUCCAUUAAGAUUCAAUGACAUUGAAAAGGCAACAAAUGCUAAAUGCAAAGUAGAACAAAUACAGCGAGAAGAAGCCAAGGCUAGAAAAGAAACUGAAAUGUCCUGGGAACAUAAGUAUUUCAAACCUGUGGGUGAAAAUUGGAUCUAUACGAAACCCUUAAGCCAGCGUGUUUAUUUACAAGAAAAAGAAAGUAAAAGAUAAUAAAGCUAAAUGCUAAAAAUGUGCAAAGUAUAAUAAAUAAUAUGAAAAAGGAAACAUCUGUCUCAUAUCACUAAAUAAAAAGUAAAAAGAAAUUAAACGAAUGCCGCCAAAUGAAAAACAAACAAGAAAACAAAAUAACUAGUAAAGGAAAUAUUAAGUAAUAAAUGUUUAUAAUAAAAAAAGACAACAAAAACUACAUAAAUCAUUAAAUCAUGAUUGUUAUUUUAUAAUAUAAUUAAUUAUUACAAACACUAAAUAAAAACGUAAAUCAA